UCCCCGUUGCCGGGGCAGUCUGAAUAGAAAAAUACAACUAUUCACAAGGGUUGCGCUCGUUGAUGGACUUAACCAAACAUCUCACGACACGAGCUGACGACGGCCAUGCAUCACCUGUCACCAAGUUCAAUAAAGCACUCUCGUCUUUCGACAAAAUUCUUGGGAUGUCAAUCCCUGGUAAGGUUCUUCGGUUAUCAUCGAAUUAAAGAACAUAAUCCACCGCUUGUGCGGCUCCCCGUCAAUUCCUUUAUGUUUUAGUCUUGCGACCGUACUCCACAGGCGGGAUACUUAACGCGUUAGCUUCGCUACUGGGGGGGUCGAUACCCCCAACAGCUAGUAUCCAUAGUUUACGGCGUGGACUAC
rnacentral:misc_RNA from 1 species